rnacentral:rRNA from 1 species
GACGAACGCUGGCGGCGUGCUUAACACAUGCAAGUCGAACGGAAAGGCCCUGCUUUUGUGGGGUGCUCGAGUGGCGAACGGGUGAGUAACACGUGAGUAACCUUCCCUUGACUUUGGGAUAACUUCAGGAAACUGGGGCUAAUACCGGAUAGGAGCUCCUGCUGCAUGGUGGGGGUUGGAAAGUUUCGGCGGUUGGGGAUGGACUCGCGGCUUAUCAGCUUGUUGGUGGGGUAGUGGCUUACCAAGGCUUUGACGGGUAGCCGGCCUGAGAGGGUGACCGGCCACAUUGGGACUGAGAUACGGCCCAGACUCCUACGGGAGGCAGCAGUGGGGAAUAUUGCACAAUGGGCGGAAGCCUGAUGCAGCAACGCCGCGUGCGGGAUGACGGCCGUCGGGUUGUAAACCGCUUUCGCCUGUGACGAAGCGUGAGUGACGGUAAUGGGUAAAGAAGCACCGGCUAACUACGUG